GGCUGAGUAACGCGUAAGGGACCUGACCCUGGGAGGGGGAUAACCCACCGAAAGGUGGGCUAAUACCCCGUACGUUGGGAUAGUCAGGAAAGCUUCGGGCGCCCGGGGAGGGCCUUGCGUCCUAUCAGGUAGUUGGCGGGGUAACGGCCCACCAAGCCUAAGACGGGUAACCGGUGUGAGACCAUGAACGGUCAUAGUGGGGACUGAGACUUGGCCCCCACUCCUACGGGAGGCAGCAGCACGGAAUUUUGCGCAAUGGGCGAAAGCCUGACGCAGCGACUCCGCUUGGGGGAAGAAGGCCUUCCGGUUGUAAACUCCUUUUCUGGGGGAAGAGCGGUACCCCAGGAAUAAGCCCCGGCUAACUACGUGCCCUUAUCCGCGGUAAUACGUACGGGGCCAGCGCUGUCCUGAAUUACUGGUUGUAAAGGGCUCGUAGGCUUCUUCGAAGUCUCC
rnacentral:rRNA from 1 species